GUGCUAACUUCCACAGCACAUAUACUAAUAUUGGAACAAUCCAUAGCAGAUUAGCAUGGCCUUUAUGUAAGGAUGACAGCAAAUUUGUGAAGCAAUUCAAAUUUUG